rnacentral:rRNA from 1 species
AGUCAAUAGAUACCCUGGUAGUCCUGGCCCUAAACGAUGUCCACUAGAUCGUGGCGGCUCUGACGCCGUCAUGGUCGAAGCAAAAGUGCUAAGUGGACCGCCUGGGAAGUACGGUCGCAAGGCUAAAACUCAAAGGAAUUGACGGGGGCUCACACAAGCGGUGGAGCAUGUGGUUCAAUUCGAAGCAACGCGCAGAACCUUACCUGGGCUUGACAUGCUAGGAUUAUCUCUAUGAAAGUAGAGUAGGCCCUGGGGUACAACUAGUACAGGUGCUGCAUGGCUGUCGUCAGCUCGUGUCGUGAGAUGUC